GCUAGUUUUCCCGUCGCGAUAGAACCAAUCCCUCACUAGCCCUACCUCGUCUCCCGUCUCCAAUCGCAGCCGCCGCCGCACCCCAAUCCAAUCCCGCCGCUGGCGAUCUCCUCGCCCCCCUGCGCCGCCGCCCCCAACCUUCUAUUCCUCUCCCAAGGGAAUCUCAAGGGAAGGGAAGGGAAGGCAAGGGAAGGGAAGGCAAGGCAAGGGAAGGGAAGGGAAGGGAAGGAAGAGGGAGCGCCCAGAUCCACGGCGGCAUCAGCGCGCCGUCGUCGACCUGAUCCGUGUCCGUCCUCAAGGGAGGUCGGCCAUGGAGGUCCGACCCGGCCCGGCAGCAGCCAUGGACGGAUGGAGAUGCCCCAAACCCUACCCUCAAGGACGACGCCUCAACCUUCAAGGACGCGCGCCGGCGACCGCGGAUCUCCGGUGACGGCUAUGGAUGACUGCCCCGGAUCUGGACACACGACCUGCAGCUGCAGCAGCAGCUGGACGACCGAACGCACGAGCCCUCCCUCCCUCCCUCAUGGCUCUGCUUCCUCCUACCCUGCCCCCCUCACGUGGGCGUGGUCCCACAAAUAGAAGCGUUGCUCAUAUGCUCCUGAAUCAGGUGUGCAGUAUGAUGGAGUUUACAGAAUUGAGAACUGUUAGAUAAAGAUUGGUGUUCAGGGCAGGAGCAUAGAUGGUGCACAGGAGAGCUGCCUUGUCAUUGAUAGAGGAAGUGUGAGAGCAUGCUAAUUGUGCAGGGAAGAGAAAUAAAAUGAAAGCGAAAAUGAGAAACAAAAGAGAAGAAUGUUAUGAUCUCAUGAUAAUGUCGGCCACCAGCCAGCGCCCAUAGGAGUAUACCUAUAGGCGGUCCAAAGGUUAUCUAGGUUGGUAAAAAGCAAGGCCGCCUCAUAGCUGAGGAAGAUGAUGUGUAACCAAUGAAGAAGAUAUAUUAGGAUGGAACUCGAGGCAUUUUGUGGACUAGUAUCUAUAGUUUUUUGAUGCCUAUAAAGCAGAGCCAAGCCGAGAAAGAAGGAUCCCGAUCUCCGCCGUGGUCGACAAACAGCGCGAUGGGCGGAGCACCCAGCCCGUAGGCUCAUCCCCUUCUCCGAUCCACUCCGGCGGCGGCCAUCGUUGUCAAGGCAUCGGUUCAUGUGGUUUCCUGCUACUGGCAUAUAGAUGCAGACGAGAGGAAGAGAGCCUCCCCCAAGCUAUGUCUAGGCGAUGCACAGGCGACGGCCACCCUUCCUGUUAUUGCCUCCAUGGCUGGCUGCUCAUCCCCAGGAACCUCCUCCCCUCUCACGUGUGAUUAAGUUGGAACACAGGUAUCUAGGGCAGGGCGUGGUCACAUUGCAGGAAGCAAGGAGCAGCGCAAAGUUGUCUUGGCCGUGCCCUGCAUCGAGGAGGAACACAUGUAUUUACAAAUCGAGGAAGAAAACAUGUAGUUUUCUGUAUUUUUCUGUUUGUUAUUUUGUAACUUUAUGCUUCACCUGUCCUGAAUUAUACCUAUACUCAUGUUGUCAGAUACAUAGGUAUACAGAUACAUAGCUAUGGAAGAUACGACUUACUGAUACAUAUCUGAAUGUUAUAGCUAUAAAGAUACCUGAUUGUUAUAGAUGAAUGUAACAAAGAAAGUGGUAUGGAUGAAUGGUGUCGUUUCUUUACCCAUGCUGUGGUUGAAAUCGUUGUUUGGUUCCCAGGUUGAAUAAAUCCGACAUAUGUAAAUCAUCGAUGUUUUUCUGGAAGUAGUAUAGUAGGUUUAAGAUGGCUAAUGCUACAUCUACGUACAGAGAUACAAAGACUUACGUAAACUACCUAAACUAAAUCCUCUCCCCCUGAUUUUAAUGGGGGUGGGCCCCUUCCUCUCCUUGUCUCCAAUCCUGAUCCACCACGUCUCUCAUUACGUUAGAUUACGUUACUUGUUUACGUAAGUGUAGCAUUGUCCGUUUAAGAUUGGGCGAUGAUUGCUUCAUUCGACUACUUAUAAUUUGGGUUUCUAUAGUUUCAAGAGGCUAACAAUUCCACCUUGGGUGUCUUAUCUCUAAGAUUCUAACUAUCAAAUAACAUUGCUUUGAAGUGUAGAUGUUCCGGGAUUGCUAGCUCCUGCCAGGUGAUCAGAAUUACUGCUUUGUUUAUUACUCAACGAUGUUGGACACUGGUUUCUCUAAAUAUCUUUUACAAGUACAGUUUCUACUUUUUUCUGCAGAAAUACAACAUGGUAGUCUUGAAGUAAAUACCAAUCAUGUGAUCCGAUAUGUUGUUUCAGAACAAUAGACCAUCAAUAUUAUUUUCGCCUCGGGUUCUAGAGGAGGACAGCUAAUUAAGAGAAAACUUCGGAUGGAGAGGAGAAGACUGAAAAGGAUGUUGAUAUGAGGAAUUCAAGGAAGUGGAAGAGGAAGAAAGUUCUGAUGAUGGUGAUAAUUAGAAUAUCAAGUUUGACGACGAUGAUGAUUGGAACCAAGAGGAGAAAGUACCUGCUGCUAAAACCCACCAAAGAAUUAGCAAGAAAAUUGAUGGUGGGAGCUAGCAAUGCCGGCAGUGCCUCCUUUAGGAUUACAAAAUCGUUAAUCCUAUCUUCGCUUGCAUGUGACUGAUGGUGAUGCUACACAAGUUCUGAAGGCAGUGCCCUCCCCUUGAGCAGGAGAUCUUGCUGGUUCUGCAUGGCACAACUGGAUUAAAUAUGCUACAGCAAGCGAAGGAGUUCAAUGAUUUUGUUGGAAUCAAAGGAUUCAUCCUAACGAAGACGGGACUGCUCGUGUUGGUUGUGUGGUACAGGCGAUUUCCAGUCCUUUAUUGUAACAGUACAAAUUCCAGUCCUGGAUCUUAAAUAAACGACAACUAAACUUGCUGACCUGAAUCCUGUCUCAGGUGAGUGUUCAUAGACGAACUUGGAGUUCUAGCCAAGUUUGUUGGCGUCGGCGAAGGGGUGGAAGAUCUCCAACCUUUUUGAUGCAGAAGCAUUUGUUGAAGCCAUUUUCCCAUAAAAGUGACCCAGUUAUUAGUGUUUCUCAUGUAACAAGAUUUUGGCCAGCAUGCUACUCCCUUCGUUUCUAAAUAUAUGUCUUUU